CCUACGGGCGACAGCAGUGAGGAAUAUUGGUCAAUGGGCGGAAGCCUGAACCAGCCAAGUCGCGUGAGGGAAUAAGGCCCUACGGGUCGUAAACCUCUUUUGCCGGGGAGCAAGGGCCGGGACGAGUCCCGGUCCGGAGAGUACCCGGAGAAAAAGCAUCGGCUAACUCCGUGCCAGCAGCCGCGGUAAUACGGAGGAUUCGAGCGUUAUCCGGAUUUAUUGGGUUUAAAGGGUGCGUAGGCGGGCUUUUAAGUCAGCGGUAAAAAGUCGGGGCUCAACCCCGUCCGGCCGUUGAAACUGGGGGCCUUGAGUGGGCGAGAAGAAGGCGGAAUGCGUGGUGUAGCGGUGAAAUGCAUAGAUAUCACGCAGAACCCCGAUUGCGAAGGCAGCCUUCCGGCGCCCUACUGACGCUGAGGCACGAAAGUGCGGGGAUCGAACAGGAUUAGAUACCCCAGUAGUC
rnacentral:rRNA from 1 species